AAUUCAGUGAAGUCUGGAGUGCAAAUCCGGAUAUGGUUUUAGAAGACCCUGGAUUU
rnacentral:tRNA from 1 species